AAAAUCAUCCAAGAGAAAGAAAGUAUCAAAGGCUUUCUAAUUGGAGCAUUUUUUGUUGAAUAAUGGACACGAGUCAUUAUAAAAGUCAUUUAUUUUUGUUCACCAAUAAACAAAAAGACAGGAAGCGCGGGGGCAUUAAAUUGGAGAGUGAAAAGUGAAUGAGCAAUCACUGAAUGAGUGGAGAUGCUUUAAUGUGCUCUUUCACGUUUCACAUUUGUUCUUUAUUUCUUUUUUUAUUAUUUUCUGGAAAUGAAAAUAGGAAAUUCCAUUUCUUCUGUUCAAUUAAUGUAAUUAUUUCCUUUAUUAUUAUUUUUCGAAAAAGGAGAGAUUUUUAUUUUUUAUUUUUUCUGGAUAUAUGUUUUUUCUUUAAAUUCUCAACUUUUUCUCCACUCAACUCACUUUUGUUUAGCUUUCAGAAGUCCUGAACUGAACAUAGAAAAUAUUAUAAUACUAUAUAAAAAUAUAAAAAUGGAAAGUCACUUCAAUGAAUUAUACUAGUAUUAUUUUCCAAUUCAGAAAGCAACUCCAUUUCUUCUAUUCUUGAUUCUUUGUGCUAACUCUCUUGUCUUCUAAGUCAAUAAACAGUGAAGAAGAUUACAAGUUCUUGACCAGAAGAGGAUUAGGUAGUAGCUAUUUCAUCUUCUACCUUUACCAUCUAUUUAUUUUUAUUUAUUUGUUACAUAUUGAGGUAAUAAUUGUUUGAAAUAUAGAAGACAAAAAGGACUAUAUUUCAAAGAGGGGUUGUUGUGAAUUACAUCAGAUCCAGGGUACUGAAGUUUUAUUAGAAAAAGGGUACCUGCUUUUUCAGUGCUUUCAUGUGAUUCUUGGUAAUUGGCUUUAAGCUUUUCAUAGGUUAAUUCACAUGACCCUUUCCUUAUUACCUGUCUUUCUUGUCAUUAAAGACUAAGGAUUUAUGUAAAGUUUGGAAUUUUAUCUUAUUACCUAUAUUAAUUGUGUGGAUGUAAGGAUCUCUAGUGAAUAUUGUUAUGUUCUGAGUAUAUAUAGUUCUUGUUACCUGUCUUUCUUGUCAUUAAAGACUAAGGAUUUAUGUAAAGUUUGUUUUUUUAUCUAUAUUAAUUGAGUGGAUGUAAGGAUCUUUAGUGAAUAUUGUUAUGUUCUGAGUAUAUAUAGUUGAAGAAGAAGUUAGAUUUUGCACAAAAAAAGAAAAAAAAAAGGGUUCUUGCUGUUUCUUCUUUGCUAAACAGACCUGAUUACCAAUUUCUGUCAAGCAUCCUCAUUAAUGGGGCGCCACGCUAUGUAAAAGAAUGGUCUUUUUCUAGUUGAUUUACUUAGGCAUGGAAAAUGGUAUGCUGAAGCUCAUGAUAAGACUGUUACUGAUUCCAAAGAGAGGUGAUGAAUUAGUUUAACAAUGAAAGGCAGUUUAGUUAUAGAGGGGGUGGUUAACUUUUACUGCUUUCAAUAUAGUGAUUU
rnacentral:lncRNA from 1 species